rnacentral:rRNA from 1 species
AUUGAACGCUGGCGGCAGGCUUAACACAUGCAAGUCGAACGGUAACAGGAAGAGAGCUUGCUUUCUUUGCUGACGAGUGGCGGACGGGUGAGUAAUGCUUGGGAAUCUGCCUUAUGGAGGGGGAUAACUACGGGAAACUGUAGCUAAUACCGCGUAAUAUCUUCGGAUUAAAGUGUGGGACCUUCGGGCCACAUGCCAUAAGAUGAGCCCAAGUGAGAUUAGGUAGUUGGUGAGGUAAAGGCUCACCAAGCUGACGAUCUCUAGCUGGUUUGAGAGGAUGACCAGCCACACUGGAACUGAGACACGGUCCAGACUCCUACGGGAGGCAGCAGUGGGGAAUAUUGCACAAUGGGCGCAAGCCUGAUGCAGCCAUGCCGCGUGAAUGAAGAAGGCUUUCGGGUUGUAAAGUUCUUUCAGCGAUGAGGAAGGUGCAUUAUCUAAUAGGUGAUGUAAUUGACGUUAGUCGCAGAAGAAGCACCGGCUAACUCCGUGCCAGCAGCCGCGGUAAUACGGAGGGUGCGAGCGUUAAUCGGAAUAACUGGGCGUAAAGGGCACGCAGGCGGUUGUCUAAGUCAGAUGUGAAAGCCCCGAGCUUAACUUGGGAAUUGCAUUUGAGACUGGGCGACUAGAGUCCUCUAGGGAGGGGUAGAAUUCCACGUGUAGCGGUGAAAUGCGUAGAGAUGUGGAGGAAUACCGAAGGCGAAGGCGGCCCCUUGGAGAGAGACUGACGCUGAGGUGCGAAAGCGUGGGUAGCAAACAGG